GUCCCCGUCGUCUAGCCCGGUCCAGGACACCUCCCUUUCACGGAGGUAACCAGGGUUCGAAUCCCUGCGGGGACGCCA
rnacentral:tRNA from 1 species